AUAAUGCAUGCAUUAACAUAUUAUUUGAUUGAUCUAUUAGUGAAAAAUACACAGGCUGCUUAAAGUUUCUUUGAGGGCCACCGACUUUGGUUAGAUAUAUCUUAAGCCCACAUUCAUCUAGAUAUUUUACAGUUCUUGCCUGUUGCAGCCAAAGCGUUAGCAAACAUAGUGAUAAAGACAAAGUGUUCAAGACAAAAUGUAAUCAAUACCAUUAAAAAUUAUACAACAAGAAAUCAACUUAUUAAUCAACCGAUCAACUGGAAAACUGAGCAAUGUCAAGGCAAAGGUUCUCAACAGCAUGUCCCGUUUAAGAUGCGCACAAUUAGCUUAAAACGACAGCAGGACAUGGAG
rnacentral:sRNA from 1 species